AGAGCUGAGAGCGCGAGCGCCGGGCAGUCUUCAUUCUUCAAUAGCUGGGCGAGUGUCUGGGCGGUUCUCUCGCACAGACGUCCGAAAGUAACAUGGCGAAUAUCAGUCGCACCUGCAGAAGCUCUUCGUCGUGACACUUCCACGUAGACUGAUCUACGAGACUGUUUUUCUCAUGCGUUACUUGCCGACUACCUAAUACUCUUGCCAGACAUCAGGAGCUAAGUAUAGUAGAUGCAGCAUGAGUUUCUCCGUGAAGAAGACCGGCGGCAGAAUGUGGCACGAGGCGCGGAAGCAGGAGAAGAAAAUCCGCGGGAUGCUCGUGGACUACCGCCGACGAGCCGAACGUCGCCGAGACUACUACGAGAAAAUCAAAUCAGAUCCUACGCAGUUUUUACAAUUGCAUGGGAGGCCAUGUAAAAUUCAUUUAGAUCCUGUAAUCGCAGCAGCAGGUGAUAGUCCUGCAAACAUGAUGCCUUGGCAAGGAAAUCAAGAUAAUUUAAUUGAUCGUUUCGAUGUAAGAGCCCAUCUCGAUUGGAUUCCAGAGGCUACCAAUGCUACCGAAAUUGAUGUCCCAUUAACAAGUGAAGAUAGACACAUCAAUUAUGAAAGAUACCGGAUAAUUGUACAAAAUGAAUUUCUCACUGUUACAGAAGAGAAGUUUCUUCAUCAAAUUCACCUUGAAGAACAAUUUGGUUCCUCUACAAAACCAGACUUAGUAAAGGAUAAAAAGAAAUCAAGCAAUAACGCUGCAAUCGGUUACAACUAUGAAACUGAAGAACCAAUUCCAGAAACACCUAAACCAACGGAUCCUGCUGCUGUACCAGAAGAAAAAGAGGAUGAUGAUAGUGAUAUUGAUCUGGAUAUUUGUGUGGAUGUGUCACAAAUUGAACCUUCACAAGCACAUGAAAUGAACCAGGUGGCACAAAAGUAUGGACUGUUGGGUGCAGAUUACUUUAGUUUCUUGACACAAGAUUUCGAAGAAGCUGAAACACUGCGCCAAGCAAGAAAACAAGAAGAAGAGAAGGCAAUGUAUUCGGGCCGAAGAUCUCGAAGAGAAAGACGAGCAUUCAGAGAGAAGAAAAUGAUCGGCCGCGUAAUGAGCCCCCCUAGCUAUGCUGCUAGAGAAAGUCCAGAAUACAAUCCGUAUAGAAAAUCAUCUUCCAAAUCUCGUUCGCGUUCCGCAUCUCCCGUGAACGCAGGUCAAAUAACGUACAUCACGAGCUUUGGUGGUGAAGAGGAGGCGGCUCAAAGUAGUUCUUCCCAAGUUCCAGUAACAAAUCUGAAAAAAGUCAAUUCUAUAAGCUUGAAGAGAAAAAAGUCCGUUAGUCCGAUUAUUAGUGAAAAAUCGACUAAAAAAAUAGCAAGGUCUAGGUCUCGGAGUGCUUCACGUUCGAAAAGUAAAUCGUACAAAAAACGUGAAUGUAGAAGAUCAAGCCCAUCGUAUUCAAGGUCGAGAAGAGAUCUAUCUCGAGGCAGGAAGUACGGAAGAUCCAGGUCACGCAGUCGAUCCCGCUGGUCUCCCUCUUACUCCAGGUCAAGGUCACGCGGCCGAAGCAGGUCACGAUCCUACACAAGAACUCGGUCACGUUCACGGUCGAGGUCGAGGUCAAGAUCGCGACUGAGGACAAGGUCGCGAACACGAUCGCGCAGCCGUUCUCGCUCAAAAAGAUCGAGAUCGCGUUCCUCGACAACGUCCUCCUCGAGUCGUAGGACUAAGAGCAGCAGUUACUCGAGGUCACGGUCAAGAUCGAAGUCGAGAAACGAUUCGAAGAAGCGCAGACGCUCCAAGUCUAAGUCCAAAUCACGGUCCAAGUCGAGGGCAAAAACAAAGUCGAGGUCACGUUCUAGUUCAAGGUCAAGACCGAGGACCGUGAGAACUAGAUCAAGGUCAAGGUCGAAGUCUCGAUCUAGGUCUCGUAUAAAGUCCAGAACAAGAUCCAGAACGAGAUCGAGAUCUAGAUCUAGAUCUAGGAGCAGGAGUCGGAGUCGAUCGAGAUCUCGAUCAUCUAGCUCGAGAAGCAGGUCAAAUUGUAAUCGGUCGAAAAGUACAGAAAAUAAACCUACCGCAGUACCAAGAUAUUACGGUCGUCGGGGAAAGUCUUCGAGUUUAGAAAUAGAAUUAUCUGAUAAUGAGGACAAAAGUUUUCAACCCACACCAAAGACUUCUAAUUCUAACAUGAACAAGCCAAAAGCAGGGUUAAGUACAAAUUCUGGUGGCGGACACAAAGUCACCUGUAAAGAUUACACCCCAGGAGCGGCUUAAGAAAAAAAUGCAGGCCCUGUUGAAUAGGCAAUACAAAGCUGAUAAAAAAGCUGAACAGGCUCGAAUUGAGAAAAUGGAGCAGCAGAGGCAAGACAGAGAGGACGAGAUCCGAGAAAUGUCUCUCAAACUUCGUAGAAAACAACGAGAACGAAGGCACCGAUACGAUGGUCACAGCUCCGAAUCUCGGUCUUCGGGGUCACGCUCCCCGAGUCCUGAUCGAAACGCCCGAAGUUCCACACGCAGAGAUAGACGAGAUCGUGAGCACAGGAACCACGAUCACGAGAAUACUCGAGAUAGGGAACGAACGCGCGAUAAACGAGAUGAUAAAGAGAGAAGUAGCAGGCAAGAUUCCCGGAGACGUCAUCGCACUCCACCUCGUCAUUCUAGCCCGCGGAACAAUCGUGGAUUAGUUGAUUAUUAACUAUAAAUAAGAAAGUGUUCAAAAGGCAAUCAUACGGGCACUAAUUUAUACCCGGGUGCUGUGAAUUUUUAAAAAUUGUCAAUAUUGUUUUAUGUUAUAUAAAUUCGAUGAUUAUAAUCAAUAAACAAUUUUAACGUUA